UGGAGCUCUGGUGCAGUUUGGCAAGACAAAGCCUAAACUGUUUAAAUGAGAUGCUCUUCUGUAGACAGUCCUGAGGAGUGUGUUCUUCGGAGUCUCUGGACUUAUGUAAAUCCCUGGUCACUCUCUGCUGACAGUGAUCUUGAGGAAAUUUUGUCAGCUGACUUAUGGAUCCCUGACAUAAUGACAUGGACCUUAGGCAAUUGUCUAAGACAUUAAGGAGAUGGGCUUCCCACCUGUGCACAGUUGCUUUUCCAAAACGACUCUUUUUCUCUACCACUCUUUAAGACGCCCCUGUACAGCUUCUUUUAUAUUGCAGAUACUCUUCACAUCUUACAACAACAGUAAGUAAAUUUUAAAAGAAUAAUGUUAUCAGUGAGUAACUCCAACAUCCAUUUCAUAACUAUCUCAUAUUUAGGGAAGCAACGAUUGAUCCCUUUAGUACAUGUAAAGAUGCAGGGCCUUGGGAAAUGCCUGGAGACAAAGAUGGCGAUCUUCAGAUCGGAAGUGACGACACCGUCGCAAAGAAACAGUCAUCUUUUCUAAAAUACCAUUUUCCAGUGCUAAUGGCCAGCUGAGAAUGCCCGCUCACCAGCUGAAUGCCAAGAGCCGCUUAAUAACAAUCAGGGGAAGCAGACAGUCAUGGCUGUCAGUCACCGGGUGCCUAAUGUGACUACCGUUGUUCAUGUUCUUCUCGCUUUUAUCCUAAUGAGACUGGUAGCUAUUUUUAACCUCAUUUUAUACAAGGUGGGGCUCAAGGGCCAAACUCCCUUUCACAAGUCACACAAUCAAUAAAGGCAGAGUGGGCUCUGUUCGCAGAGUCUAACCCCAAAGUCUCUCCGUUGUUUCCCAGGCCGGUGUCACACUCACCCCGAUACCUCUCAGUUCCUGUGAGCCUCGCUCUCGCUUUACAUUGGAAGCUGGUAAUUUAUUAAGCC
rnacentral:lncRNA from 1 species